rnacentral:rRNA from 1 species
GACGAACGCUGGCGGCGUGCCUAAUACAUGCAAGUCGAACGAGAGCGACCGGUGCUUGCACUGGUCAAUCUAGUGGCGAACGGGUGAGUAACACGUGGGUAACCUGCUCAUCAGAGGGGGAUAACAUCCGGAAACGGAUGCUAAAACCGCAUAGGUCUUCGAGCCGCAUGGCUUGAAGAGGAAAAGAGGCGCAAGCUUCUGCUGAUGGAUGGACCCGCGGUGCAUUAGCUAGUUGGUGAGGUAACGGCUCACCAAGGCCGUGAUGCAUAGCCGACCUGAGAGGGUGAUCGGCCACAUUGGGACUGAGACACGGCCCAAACUCCUACGGGAGGCAGCAGUAGGGAAUCUUCCGCAAUGGACGCAAGUCUGACGGAGCAACGCCGCGUGAGUGAAGAAGGUGUUCGGAUCGUAAAACUCUGUUGUUAGAGAAGAACAAGUGCUAGAGUAACUGUUAGCGCCUUGACGGUAGCUAACCAGAAAGCCACGGCUAACUACGUG